UACGUAGGGUGCGAGCGUUGCCCGGAUUUAUUGGGCGUAAAGGGCGCGUAGGCGGCCACGCACGUCCGUUGUGAAAUCGCCCGGCUCAACUGGGCGGGGUCAGCGGAUACGGCGCGGCUGGAGCAAGCUAGGGGGUAAUGGAAUUCCCGGUGUAGUGGUGGAAUGCGUAGAUAUCGGGAGGAACACCAGUGGCGAAGGCGGUUGCCUGGAGCUUUGCUGACGCUGAUGCGCGAAAGCGUGGGGAGCGAUCCGG
rnacentral:rRNA from 1 species